UACGUAGGGUGCGAGCGUUAAUCGGAAUUACUGGGCGUAAAGCGUGCGCAGGCGGUUUUUUAAGACAGGCGUGAAAUCCCCGGGCUUAACUCGUGGAACUGCGCUUGUGACUGGAAGGCUAGAGUACGGCAGAGGGGGGUGGAAUUCCACGUGUAGCAGUGAAAUGCGUAGAGAUGUGGAGGAACACCGAUGGCGAAGGCAGCCCCCUGGGCCGAUACUGACGCUCAUGCACGAAAGCGUGGGGAGCAAACAGG
rnacentral:rRNA from 1 species